GCUGACAGCGGUCAUUCAAACUGGACCUUGACACAACUGGAGGUUACAGUUGCAGCUGUCGCCCCCUGGGCACUGGCCGAGGGCGGGGAGUGGACCCCCGCAGCUCACGAUCAAGAUCCGAGGCACUCUGCAGCAAGGUCUUGGCGGGGCCGGACUGCAGCCCUGCAGAAGGGUAGGACGCUGAGGCACCGAGGUCUGCUUUGCAUGGGAAGAGCAGAGAGAGUGUGGGGGAAGGGGGCGGAGGGAAUCGGCUUGCAGUACUUCUGGCUAGAAGGUAGCAAGGAGGGUCGGGUCUCUGCAGUGCACGGGGUGCCACUGCCUGACGACUCCGCAGCGCUGCAGGGUUAUCGAAUCUGGAGCUCCUUGUGCAAAAGUCCCACAGGGAGAGAGGCUGCAGUCAGGAAGUAAGUAGGUGAUGGGGAGAAACAGGGCACCCAGGCGCAAAGAAGCGAGACGUGUGCCCUGCUACGUUCCCUCGGCAGCAAUAUUUCACUCUGCCAAUCUCAGCCGCCUUUUGCCCCAGCCUUUUUCCCUGGGACAGAGGGCUCUGCGCAGGCGCCAGCAACCCAGGGUUCCCGGGCCGCACGCGGCACUGGAGCAGGUACCAUGUGAUCCCAGGGAGCGCCUCGUGCCCCAGUGACACACUUUUCCAGCAGCAGGCACGUUGAGCUCGGUGCGCCUGCGUUAAAGCCGAGGCUGUCGGGAUAUGUAGUCCGUUGGCAAAGUGGGCGGACUGCGUUUAUUUCCCCAUUUCUGCUUGCACAAGCUCUUGCUGGAAACCGGGGAGGAGCUGCGAGCCUUGUGGGGUGGAGUGCGUUGUAGAGUCAGUGUGGCGUGUUUGGAAAGCUUGUAUGGCAGAGGCAUGUGAAUUCCUGGGGAGGGACUGACAAGCUUGGCGAGCGGCUCCCUGGGAGAUCAAAGCUAACAGCCCCUUUCUGCAAAUCUUGCAAACGUGAGGGCUUCACGUGAUUGUGGGACUGACCCUGCCUUGAGGUUAGUGAUGACACGAGAGAGAUGAUAGAGGAGGGAGAUAGCCCCACCGUCAGGAGCUUAAGCUCCUGCAGAGCCAAGUCCUGAGAGGGAAAGGAAAUGUGACCCCUUUUGCGUUCUACUCCCCUUUGGGAAAGGAGUUGCCGUGGGGUUGAGGAUGCCCCUGGGGACUCCCUGUUUGCUUAUAUGCCACCACCCCACCCACUCAAGGUGACUUUGGGGUGAGUCAUUUCCCUUUGUCUAGGAAAUAAAAAGGACAAGGGAAGGAAACUGUGGUGAAAGUGUUUUGAGUUCCUAAAAUAAAAGGACCAGAGGUAAGGCAGGGCUUGGGGGCAGAGUUACACCCCCCCCAGCUCCACCCCCCCAGUGCUUCAGGGUAGUAUGGGUUUCACAUGGGAACACAGAGAUCAUCUUAACCCCCUAUCCUUUACUGAUGAGAAUGAGGCUUAGAAGGAAUGACUGACCCAAGGUCAGACAUCCAUUGCUAGUUUUAUUUGCUUACCAUCAGGCAGUGAGCUGACAUGAAAGUGAAACAUUGAACAGGGAUUAAAAACAGCCAGCAUCUCCCUUCAGAGGAGCAACUCUACCCCACUGGUGAAAAUGGGUCUCCAGUGGGGGUCUAUCAUGUUUUUUUGGUUUUGGGGUUUUUUUGGCCUUACCAUGCAGCUUGUGGGAUCCCUGACCAGGGACUGAACCCAGAUCCCUGGCAGUAAGAGCUCAGAGUCCUAACCACUGGACUGCCAGGGAAUUCCCCAGGUCUAUACAGUUUGAGGACUUGGGUGUGGGGAGAGCUGAGAGCCUCUUCUUGAAGCAGCCCAGUGAACCCGCGCCACCUGCUGCUUCCUGCUAAUCCCUCCUCAGCCCCACUGCUCCUAGGGAGGGUUUUGUUUGUUUGUUUUUUGCACACAGGAAGCCCUUCCCCACUUGUUCACAGACCACUCCUGGGACAGCACUGAUGGAUGCCUGGACACAGCCAUCAAAGAGCAAGACUGCCCUUCCUGGAGAGAAGGAUUACACCGAGUGGAAUGUCUGAGCUGCAAGCUCAUCCUGGUGCUACAAGUGAGCUGUGUCACCAUGAAGGGGAAGCCUGAAGCACCUCUUGCUCCUGACCCCACAAGUACCUUAGCCAUCCAACCACUUUUCUUCUUCCCUUAAACUCCCUUCUCCCUCCUCCAGUCCCCUCUUCUGGUGAGGUAGAAGGGGGCCAGAAUAAGGUGCAAACAAACAUACAAUAAGAUGAACUUACUCCCAUGUGCUACAGCUAAAGAUCAACUAAGAUAUGGUGCAGCCAAAUAAAUAAAAGACUUCCAUGUUA